GUUGCAGAUGACGUAAGUCACACAUCUUGUAUAUGGAAUACUUGUUUGUAUGGCAGAGCACCGAAAAGUUCACAAGCCAGAGAUCUUGACAGCGGAGUGGAGAUUGUCAUCGCUACUCCAGGAAGAUUGCUAGAUUUUCCUGGAGUUUAUUAGAUUGUAACAAAACGUAGAGUAGAUAAAAUAACGAGAAAAAUGAAACGUAAGGAAUGGUCAACUGUAUGCUUUCAUGGUUAUAAAACUCCACAAGAACGUAAUUGGGUAUUACAAGAUAUUCGAUCUGAUAAGGCUCCAUUUAUUGUAGCAAUUGACGUAGCAGCUCGUGAACUAGGAAACAAUGAAGGAGGCAACAGAGGCACAUUCAUCAUUAAAGAUAAAAUGUACUGGGGAGUUUUUAAUUUAUGAAGUUGCCAAUUCCUAAUUAGAGCCUACAAUUAAAAUUACAUAAAAGAAGGGACACGAAAUCAAGAAAAUAUAUUAAUUGCUGCACGAUUAAGUACCUGCGAGCACAUGUUUCAAUCUAUUAACUUUGAGUACAUUAAUUUAUUUGACGAAGAAAGUUGGACUGAAUUAGCAGAGUGGACAGGCCUUCGAAGGAGCAAAUCACCCAACGAGUGCUUUCACCACUUCUGUGAUUUGUACCACAAAUUUAAAUUUCACAAAAGUGCGACAAAGAGGGCUGAG